GCAAGUCGAGCGAGAAGCUCCCUUCGGGGAGUGGACAGCGGCGAAAGGGAGAGUAACGCGUAGAUACCUACCUUCGGGUUCGGGAUAGCGGGGGGAAACCGCCGGUAAUACUGAAUAAUGUCUCCGGACCAAAGAUUUAUUGCCCGAAGAUGGGUCUGCGUCCUACUAGCUUGUUGGUGGGGUAAAGGCCUACCAAGGCUAUGAUGGGUAGCGGGCGUGAGAGCGUGACCCGUCUCACUGGGACUGAGACACUGCCCAGACACCUACGGGUGGCUGCAGUCGAGAAUCUUCCGCAAUGGACGAAAGUCUGACGGAGCGACGCCGCGUGCGGGAUGAAGGCCUUCGGGUUGUAAACCGCUGUCAGAGGGAAGGAAGGGAAACUUGACCGAACCUCAGAGGAAGCGCAGGCUAAGUUCGUGCCAGCAGCCGCGGUAACACGAACUGCGCGAACGUUAUUCGGAAUCACUGGGCUUAAAGAGUUCGUAGGCGGCUUGGUAAGUCGGGUGUGAAAUCCCUCGGCCUAACCGAGGAACUGCGCCCGAAACUGGUUGCCUUGAGGGCAGGAGGGGAACGUGGAAUUCCUGGUGGAGCGGUGAAAUGCGUUGAUAUCAGGAGGAACACCGGCGGCGAAGGCGACGUUCUGGCCUGCUUCUGACGCUGAGGUGCGAAAGCCAGGGGAGCAAACGGGAUUAGAUACCCUGGUA
rnacentral:rRNA from 1 species